rnacentral:rRNA from 1 species
AAACCAACAGGGAUUACCUCAGUAACGGCGAGUGAAGCGGUAACAGCUCAAAUUUGAAAUCUGGGUCUUUCAGGCUCCGAGUUGUAAUUUGUAGAAGAUGCUUCGGGUGCGGCCCCGGUCUAAGUUCCUUGGAACAGGACGUCAUAGAGGGUGAGAAUCCCGUAUGUGAUCGGUUGCUUGCGCCCAUGUGAAGCUCUUUCGACGAGUCGAGUUGUUUGGGAAUGCAGCUCAAAAUGGGUGGUAAAUUUCAUCUAAAGCUAAAUAUUGGCCAGAGACCGAUAGCGCACAAGUAGAGUGAUCGAAAGAUGAAAAGCACUUUGGAAAGAGAGUUAAACAGUACGUGAAAUUGUUGAAAGGGAAGCGCUUGCAACCAGACUUGCGCGUUGCCGAUCAUCCGGGGUUCUCCCCGGUGCACUCGGCCUCGCUCAGGCCAGCAUCGGUUUUGGUGGUGGGAUAAAGGCCUUGGGAAUGUAGCUCCUUUCGGGGAGUGUUAUAGCCCUCGGUGCAAUGCCGCCUACCGGGACCGAGGACCGCGCUUCGGCUAGGAUGCUGGCGUAAUGGUUGUAAGCGAC